AUAAUGUUUUUCAAACUGAAAUAUAUUAUCAUGUACCACAUAAAUGGAACUGGAAAGUGGAGCCAUGCAUUGACAAAUUUUCAGACGUUGACUUUCUUGGAGAUAAUUCUACCGACUCAGAUGAAUCCAUACAAUAUUGGAGAGAAUUAUGAAACUUAAAGGUAACACAAUUUUGCUGAGCAAGAAUCCAAUUUUAAUAACACGGCGGGCCUCAACAUAUUUAAAUUGCAAAGACACACAUAACUAGUUUGGACAUUGGUAUCUUUUCUGAAGGGAAAGUGCAUCUAGUUGGAUGCGUUAAAAAGGUUGUCAAACCCAUUCCCAUUUGCAACGAGGAAAAACAAACUUAUUUGAAAAAAGAGUAUGCAAUUACCAAAAAGCUUCAGUGGCUGUUAUUAAAAUUCUUCAACUAUCGACAAUGGACAUGAUUGAUGAAGACUUUUAAACUAGUUAUGCUACUCAAAGUAAUGAUGUUGAAACUGGAAACAAUGUAAUUUUACCAAUGGAAACAAAUAUUAAAAGAGAGAAACAUAUUGAAAAUGCUGUUGUAAAUAAUUUUAAAUCACCAGGACGGACUACUAGACUUACUAGAAACAAUGAGGAUAUGCUGGACCAUACUUCAGGAUCUGGAUUACGAUGUUCCGUUAAAAACUGCUUUAACAGGCAUUCAAAGAUUCUUAGUCUCUUUGGCU